rnacentral:rRNA from 1 species
GACGAACGCUGGCGGCGUGCCUAAUACAUGCAAGUUGAGCGCUGAAGGUUGGUACUUGUACCAACUGGAUGAGCAGCGAACGGGUGAGUAACGCGUGGGGAAUCUGCCUUUGAGCGGGGGACAACAUUUGGAAACGAAUGCUAAUACCGCAUAAAAACUUUAAACACAAGUUUUAAGUUUGAAAGAUGCAAUUGCAUCACUCAAAGAUGAUCCCGCGUUUUAUUAGCUAGUUGGUGAGGUAAAGGCUCACCAAGGCGAUGAUACAUAGCCGACCUGAGAGGGUGGUUGGCCACAGUGGGAGUGAGACACGGCCCAAAGGCCUACGGGAGGCAGCAGUAGGGAAUCUUGGGCAAUGGACGAAAGUCUGACCGAGCAACGCCGCGUGAGUGAAGAAGGUUUUCGGGUCGUAAAACUCUGUUGGUAGAGAAGAAAGUUGGUGAGAGUGGAAAGAUCAUCAAGUGACGGUAACUACCCAGAAAGGGACGGCUAACUACGUG